AUGACAAUGAAAUCAUGGAUUCUGUGCAAUUCUGAUGCAGGUUAUAGAAUCAGUGAAGGUGUUUGCAAUUCAAUGCUGGAGGUUCAAGCAGAUGAAGAUUAUUGUAGAGAAGGUUCAAUAUACGAUAUACGAAUAGGUUUCAGAUUGAAGCAUAAAGGCAACGAUGUUGGCUUUGCCGGUUCCACAGCAAGAUCCUGCACAUAUUUCAUUGAAGACAAACUGGACAAUGGUUGA